GAUGAAGAACAUAAACACUCCAAAGGCACCCAAUAACAUCUUACAUUUGAAGCUAUGCAGGCUCAGACCCGGCUAGUAAUUGGGUGGGAGACUGCCAACUAAUAUCAGGUUCUGUCAGCU
rnacentral:rRNA from 11 species